AGGACGAACGCUGGCGGCGUGCUUAACACAUGCAAGUCGAGCGGAAAGGCCCUUCGGGGUACUCGAGCGGCGAACGGGUGAGUAACACGUGAGUAAUCUGCCCCUAGCUCUGGGAUAGCUCCGGGAAACCGGGAUUAAUACCGGAUACGACCACCUUAGACAUCUUUUGUGGUGGAAAGAAUUUCGGCUAGGGAUGAGCUCGCGGCCUAUCAGCUUGUUGGUGGGGUAACGGCCUACCAAGGCGACGACGGGUAGCCGGCCUGAGAGGGCGACCGGCCACACUGGGACUGAGACACGGCCCAGACUCCUACGGGAGGCAGCAGUGGGGAUAUUGCGCAAUGGGCGAAAGCCUGACGCAGCGACGCCGCGUGGGGAUGAAGGCCUUCGGGUUGUAAACCCCUUUCAGCAGGGACGAAGCGAAAGUGACGGUACCUGCAGAAGAAGCGCCGGCUAACUACGCGCCAGCAGCCGC
rnacentral:rRNA from 1 species